rnacentral:lncRNA from 1 species
AAGUGGUCUGAGACAUCACACAAGCCUUCCGGAAAGAACCCAUCUGCCUCUUCUGUCUGAACUAAUGUGUAGACCCCAUCGCCACAGGCUGCAGCCCCAGCUUCUGUAGGCCCUGUCUCUGCCUUUCCUAGGAAGAAACCAAAAUUCCUACCUGCUGCCCACAUGCUGGGAACUGUCACAGCAGGAGGACUUCAAAACCAAUAUUCUUCUGAAGAAUCUAGUGUCCAUUGCCAGAAAAGCCAGUCUCUGGCAAUUCCUGAGUCCUAAUGAGCAAAUGUAUGGAACCCAUGGGGAGACAAAGAAGAUAUUUGGAGAGGUGGAAAAACAGCCUGAUUCAUUUGCUGUGCUGGAACUCUCAGGAGCAUGGGGCUCACACCAGGAGAAGAUUAUGAAGCAAAUGAGACGUUUGUGGGCAAAAAUUCAAGAAAACCAAAGAAAUUUAAAUGAGGAAAGCACGCAGUGCUAUGUGUAGCUACGGGCAGAGAUGACUAGAGCUGAGUAGAGGAAGCUGCAUUCAGUUCCCCAUGAGAAGUAAAACAACAUUUAGAGAAACUUACAGAUGAUGACAGAAAGAUUUUACAGCAACUUAAGAAAAGCAAAAAGACAAAAUGGUUCAGAAAAAAAAAAAAAACACCUAAGAAAAAUCUAUAAGGAGCUGAUAAAAAUGUGCCAUAAACUAGAUGUGGAGCUGCU